GGACGGUACUCAAGAUGGCGCAGGCAAAUCAACUUCCGGUCAGACCGAGGACCGAGGAAAUGAAAAUAGUCGACCUGAGAAGCAGCCCGGGUAGGCUGGACCGAGCGGCCUACGAAAUGAGACGGUCUAGCCUACGGAGCGCUUCGUAUUUACGUCACGUGAUACGUGCUGUUCGGUUGCGUUGCUCCAGCAGCCUGCUAGCAAAUUAGCUGAAAAGGAUCCAGAAACUGUACCUUUAAAUUUGUUGGAGAUCACCGUCGGCGAUGAAAUAAAGAGAACCAUGGCCAGAUGAUGUCCCACUGACACCAUUUCAGCACCUCCAGGUCCAUCAGCACCGUGACCCCUCCUCCGCUCUGCUGAAAUACACAAUUAAACAUUUUCUAUGACCUAUUUUUUGUAUUAAUAAAAUUAAACUGAAGACAGUUGAA